ACAAUAAAAACCAGUUCUGACAGCUUCCCGGUUCUUUUAAUUGGUAUUAGGGCGCAUCACGAUGCAGAAAAGAACAUACGAGCUCAUUGGCAGGAACUCAUAUA